GACCCGUAAUCCGGGUUGCGGACAGUGUCUGGUGGGUAGUUUGACUGGGGCGGUCUCCUCCUAAAGAGUAACGGAGGAGCACGAAGGUUGGCUAAUCCUGGUCGGACAUCAGGAGGUUAGUGCAAUGGCAUAAGCCAGCUUGACUGCGAGCGUGACGGCGCGAGCAGGUGCGAAAGCAGGUCAUAGUGAUCCGGUGGUUCUGAAUGGAAGGGCCAUCGCUCAACGGAUAAAAGGUACUCCGGGGAUAACAGGCUGAUACCGCCCAAGAGUUCAUAUCGACGGCGGUGUUUGGCACCUCGAUGUCGGCUCAUCACAUCCUGGGGCUGAAGUAGGUCCCAAGGGUAUGGCUGUUCGCCAUUUAAAGUGGUACGCGAGCUGGGUUUAGAACGUCGUGAGACAGUUCGGUCCCUAUCUGCCGUGGGCGCUGGAGAAUUGAGGGGGGCUGCUCCUAGUACGAGAGGACCGGAGUGGACGCAUCACUGGUGUUCGGGUUGUCAUGCCAAUGGCACUGCCCGGUAGCUAAAUGCGGAAGAGAUAAGUGCUGAAAGCAUCUAAGCACGAAACUUGCCCCGAGAUGAGUUCUCCCUGACUCCUUGAGAGUCCUGAAGGAACGUUGAAGACGACGACGUUGAUAGGCCGGGUGUGUAAGCGCAGCGAUGCGUUGAGCUAACCGGUACUAAUGAACCGUGAGGCUUAACCUUACAACGCCGAAG
rnacentral:rRNA from 2 species